AAAACACACUACAAUGCAACAUACAUAGAAACGAACUAUUAAAUAACAACUGCCAUAUUCCUGACUUGGUACAGGAAAUUUUAAGAAUAAAUGGUGGGUUUGACCUGGUUUUGCAGCUAGCCAAACCUCCGCGCUUUAUGGCAAUGUUAAAUAUACCGCUAAAAUGACAACAUUACAUGACGAGAAUACAGUACUAAUAAAUGCGAGAACACCC
rnacentral:lncRNA from 1 species